rnacentral:ncRNA from 1 species
GUCUAAGUACACACAGCCAGUACAGUGAAACUGCAAAUGGCUCAUUAAAUCAGUUAUAGUUCCUUGUCUCACUUUCUCCCUCCUACUUGGAUAACUGUGGUAAUUCCAGAGCUAAUACAUGCUGAUGAGCACUGACCCAGGCCCCCUUUCCCCUAUGUGUUGGGGCCCUUGGGGAUGCGGGCAUUUAUCAGACCAAAACCAAGUCUUCCACAUAUCUUGCAAACUCCCAAAAGCUAGAAAAGGGUAAAAGGGAAGAAACAGUUCAAGAAAAGUCCAGUGUCAAUCAGGGGACAGAUCCUAGCAUUCAGGAAUGUAUACCCCACAUCCUGGAG